GUUUUUGUAUUUUUCAUGUUUAUGAUAUUUUGGAAUGACUGAAGAUUGAGCGCAGAAUUCAAUAAUCCUGUGGAUGGACUGCAGCGAGUCCUUUUGCAGUUAUCCAUCAAAAUGCUAUGCAGACAUAAUGCAAAUGACAUUUACAUUGUAGAGCUUGGACAAAGUUCACACAGGCUCUGCGCAGGAAUUCAUCAAGGACAUAACUGCUGGGAUUACACUUGUGGAUGACCAAUCUGAGCACCAUCAGUCUGCAGUGAUGUGGUCCAGCCAUCCGGUGACAUUAAGAAUGUUGAGAAAGAAAUUGAAGAGGGCAUUCUGAUUGUA